rnacentral:rRNA from 1 species
UUAAGCUACUAAGAGCGUAGGGGGAAUGCCUUGGCACCAAGAGCCGAUGAAGGACGUGAUAAGCUGCGAAAAGCUACGGGGAGGAGCACAUAUCCAAAGAGCCGUAGAUAUCCGAAUGAGGGAACUCAAUCUAGGUAAAUGCUAGAUUAUCAUCACAUGAGUAAAGUAGUGUGAUAGAGGGGAACGUGGGGAACUGAAACAUCUUAGUACCCAUAGGAAGAGAAAAUAAAAAUGAUUCCGUAAGUAGUGGCGAGCGAAAGCGGAAAAGCCCAAACCUGAGUGAGCAAUCACUAGCAGGGGUUAGGACAUGCAACAAAUUCCAAGAAAGAGUGUAGUAGAAGUGUUUUGGGAAAGCACACCAAAGAGAGUGAAAGUCUCGUAUACGAAACACGAAAGAAGGAAGAGUAUGAUCCAGAGUAAGACAGGACACGAGAAAUCCUGUGUGAAUGAGCGGGGACCAUCCCGUAAGGCUAAAUACUACUUGGUGACCGAUAGUGAAAUAGUACCGUGAGGGAAAGGUGAAAAGAACCCCGGGAGGGGAAUGAAAUAGAAUCUGAAACCCUAUGCUUACAAGCAGAUAGAGCACGUUAAAGUGUGAUAUCGUACUUUUUGCAGAACGGUCCGGCGAGUUACUGUAUAUGGCAAGGAGAAGAGUUUAAGACUAAUAUCCGAAGCGAAAGCGAGUCUGAAUAGGGCGAAGUUAAGUCAUAUGUAGUAGACCCGAAACCGAGUGACCUAUCCAUGUCCAGGAUGAAGCUAGAGUGAAAUCUAGUGGAGGUCCGCACCAGUAGACGUUGAAAAGUCUUUGGAUGAGGUGUGGAUAGCGGAGAAAUUCUAAUCGAACUCGGAUAUAGCUGGUUCUCCUCGAAAUAGCUUUAGGGCUAGCCUUGAACAAAAACCGUAUGGGGGUAGAGCACUGAAUGAGCUAGGGGCCAAACAAAGGUUACCAAACUUUAUCAAACUGCGAAUACCAUAAGGGAAGUUCAGGAGUCAGACUACGGGAGCUAAGUUCCGUGGUCAAAAGGGAAAGAGCCCAGACCGUCAAUUAAGGUCCCCAAGAUAUAACUAAGUGGAAAACGAUGUGAUUUUGCGCAGACAACCAGGAUGUUGGCUUAGAAGCAGCCAUUCAUUUAAAGAGUGCGUAAUAGCUCACUGGUCGAGUGAAGUUGCGCGGAAAAUUACCGGGGCUAAGUUAUACACCGAAAUUGCGGAUUCAUUAAGAAAUUAAUGAGUGGUAGAGGAGCGUUCUAUACAGGAUGAAGUAUGAUCGAGAGGACAUAUGGACAGUAUAGAAGAGAGAAUGCCGGAAUGAGUAGCGAGAGCAAAGUGAGAAUCUUUGCCGUCGAAAAUCUAAGGUUUCCUGGGGAAGGUUCGUCCGCCCAGGGUAAGUCGGGACCUAAGGUGAGGCCGAAGGGCGUAGCCGAUGGACAGCAGGUUAAGAUUCCUGCACCAGUAUACAUGUAUAAUACAUAAGAGGACACAUUUGAAGAAGGUGAGCGAGGAAGAGGAAAAACUCGUAUGGCAACAUAUAGUGAAAUUAAGUAACGAAUCAUCAAGAGGCAAGUGGCGAGAAAAGUCUUAUGUAGUUGUGUAGACUGCCCGUACCGCAAACCGACACAGGUAGAUGAGGAGAGGAUCCUAAGACGAGCGGGAGAAGCAUUGUUAAGGAACUCGGCAAAUUGACCCCGUAACUUAGGGAUAAGGGGUGCUGGUGUAAAAACCAGUCGCAGUAAAUAGGCCCAAGCAACUGUUUAACAAAAACACAGGUUUCUGCUAAAUCGCAAGAUGAAGUAUAGGAGCUGACUCCUGCCCAGUGCUGGAAGGUUAAGGGGAAAGGUUAGGAAUAAUUCAUUAUAUCCGAAGCUUUGAACUCAAGCCCCAGUGAACGGCGGCCGUAACUAUAACGGUCCUAAGGUAGCGAAAUUCCUUGUCGGGUAAG